AUUGAACGCUGGCGGCAUGCCUUAUACAUGCAAGUCGAACGGCAGCACGGGGGCAACCCUGGUGGCGAGUGGCGAACGGGUGAGUAAUACAUCGGAACGUGUCCUGUUGUGGGGGAUAACCCACCGAAAGGUGAGCUAAUACCGCAUGAUCUGGAGACAGCAAAGCAGGGGAUCGCAAGACCUUGCGCGAUUGGAGCGGCCGAUGUCCGAUUAGCUAGUUGGCGGGGUAAAGGCCCACCAAGGCGACGAUCGGUAGCUGGUCUGAGAGGAUGAUCAGCCACACUGGGACUGAGACACGGCCCAGACUCCUACGGGAGGCAGCAGUGGGGAAUUUUGGACAAUGGGGGCAACCCUGAUCCAGCCAUGCCGCGUGAGUGAAGAAGGCCUUCGGGUUGUAAAGCUCUUUCGGUGGGAACGAAACGGUUCGUGCUAAUACCACGGACUACUGACGGUACUCACAGAAGAAGCACCGGCUAACUACGUGCCAGCCGCCGCGGUAAAAC
rnacentral:rRNA from 1 species